rnacentral:lncRNA from 1 species
CGUGAUCGACCAAAAAGUGCUGUGCAGCCAUUUGGGAGAAGUUCAUUGCGACUUGCUUGUUCCUUUAAUGUGAUUGCCGAUUACCUCCUUAGCGAUAAGACAUGCCUGUGAUCAGAAAAUUCAGGAGAGGAACUUUGACAUGGUAAUCAAAAGACUCAGUUAAUGAUUGUUUUUUUAUUACCGUGCAGGGAACUUACCGUUUAGCAUCAUGGCGUGGUAUU